CCAAUAGCGUAUAUUAAAGUUGUUGCAGUUAAAAAGCUCGUAGUUGAAUUUUGGAUUCUUCCAAUUGGUCCAUCUUUUAGAUGAGUACUGAUUGUGUGGGGUCUAUCCGCCUGGUGAUACGUAAUGUCCUUUAUUGGAUGUUGCGGGUAGUCAGGACCUUUACCUUGAAAAAAUUAGAGUGUUUAAAGCAGGCUUAUGCCGGAAUACAUUAGCAUGGAAUAAUAGAAUAGGACGAAGUUGUUUUAUUUUGUUGGUUUCUAGGACAACCGUAAUGAUUAAUAGGGAUAGUUGGGGGCAUUAGUAUUCAAUUGUCAGAGGUGAAAUUCUUGGAUUUAUUGAAGACUAACUACUGCGAAAGCAUUUGCCAAGGAUGUUUUCAUUAAUCAAGAACGAAAGUUAGGGGAUCGAAGACGAUCAGAUACCGUCGUAGUCUUAACCAUAAACUAUGCCGACUAGGGAUCGGGCGAUGUUGUUUCCAUGACUCGCUCGGCACCUUAUG
rnacentral:rRNA from 1 species